rnacentral:rRNA from 1 species
CGCCUGCCCAGUGAACAAUUCAACGGCCGCGGUACCCUAACCGUGCAAAGGUAGCAUAAUCAUUUGUCUAUUAACUGUAGACCUGUAUGAAAGGCAAAAUGAGGGUUUAACUGUCUCUUAUAAUAAAUCUAUUAAACUGAUCUCUCAGUAAAAAAGCUGAGAUAUCCACAUAAGACCAGAAGACCCUGUGAAGCUUGAACUAAACUAUUAAACCCAAUAAUAACUACUUUCGGUUGGGGCGACCUUGGAAAAAAGAAAAACUUCCAAACACACACUUCACCAUAACCAACAGGCUAACAAGCCAAUAAAUGACCCAGCAAAGCUGACAAUUGAACAAAGUUACUCCAGGGAUAACAGCGCCAUCUUCUUCAAGAGCCCAUAUCAAAAAGAAGGUUUACGACCUCGAUGUUGGAUCAGGACAUCCUAACGGUGCAACCGCUGUUAAGGGUUCGUUUGUUCAACGAUUAAUGUCCUACGUGAU